GCUGGGCAUGGUGGUGCAUGCCUGUAAUCCCAGUUACUCGGGAGGCUGAGGUGAGAGAAUCACUUGAACCCAGGAGGUGGAGGUUGCAGUGAGCUAAGAUCGCACCACUGCCCUCCAGCCUGGGCGACAAAGUGAGACCUUGUCUCAA
rnacentral:sRNA from 1 species